GUCAUUUACUUACUACACCAGGGGAUUCUUUUUUCUCUUCACUUCUCUUUCUUGGGCUGUCUUACUGUUGCCAGCUCCAGGGACAGGGGAGGGACAGCAGGUCUGACAGCUGGAACUGGAUAUACCACUGGCUGCUGUUUCCUAAUGUCUAGAUAUUAGCUUUUCUGUGUGUGUAGGAGGACUCUCCCUAUUGUUCUGAACUGCAGCUGGUUUCUCCCAUCCUCUUAAAGAGACACAUUGAGGCAUCCUUCUCUCUCCUAAUGCAGAUGGAGAUGCAGAUGGAGAUGACGAGCUGAAGCACAAACAGCAGCAGCAACACUACGUAGUGCCAGUGAAACUGGCAAACUAGGUGUGACUGCCUGGCCAUGCGUUGGAGGGAAAACGUAAUGAACUGUCCUCGUUUCCAUGAUCAGGACCACAGAAAUAUGAGACAUACAGCAUUGUGCAUCCCUCAAGAAAGAGCUAAUGAGGUCCAGAUGCCAGUGAUGGCUGGAAUCAGGGCUACAGUCCAAUCUGCAGCAAGAGAUACUUUGGCCAGUUGUGUGGUAUCGAAUGCUCUUCACAGUGAUGUAGAGUGUAAGAAGAGCACUCCUCAAGACAGUGUGAGAGAGGCUGGUAAUUGAUUGGUAAUGGAACAGAUUCAUGCGUCAGGCAGGCUAAUGGUGUGUGUUGUGUGUGCGCGUCCAGAAGUCAUCUGUACCCAUGACUUACACAUGCCACUCAAUGCUAAUUAGACAGUCUGCAUAUGCGCUUGUUGUGUAUGUGUGUGUUUGUGUUGUGUGUGUGUGUAUGCGUAUGUGUUGUUUUUGACUGGAGGCAGCCUCUGUUGUGACCUUAUUGCAUUGGAAAACACAAACCUCUGUUUACACCCCCACCCAUACACAAUCUUUCUUCAGAAAGCGCUUAUCAGCCUUUUCUGUGUAAUAGCAAACUGGGAAAGCUCACCUCUGCAAAAACAUUGUUUGAUUAUUGUGAAUUGCCAAGCAAACAAAUACAACCAAUGAAUACUAAUCAACUUUGGAAUCGCAUUUCAAAAACAGAUACAGUAUUUAUAUAUUUAUUUAUUUUUGCUGUUUUGUUAUCUCUGGAUUUUCAUAGAUUCUGAAAAUAUUGAAUAUCAGAGCUCUUCUUUGCUUUCCUGCCUUUUAACUGAUUUUUGUAAUAUUUCUUCUAGCUUUGCCUACUUGGAAAACCUUUGAAAACAACUUAUCCUGGUAUUUGGUUUUCAACCCCUACACUGCUCAUUUAAACUACAUCUGCUGCUCAGGGGCUGGAGUUCAUUAGACAAAUCACAGGCCAGUGGGCGGUUAUCAUAAUUUUAAUUCAACCCCGCCCUUUAUGAAUCAUGAGCCUGUGGAGUGGUUCAUAAAUCUUGAAACCAGAAGUAUGCAAGAAAGUGGCUGGUCCCUGAAGGAUCCGGAGACGUCUGGAGCAGGUGGACAUAAAGAGGAGCUAAAGAGGAGAUUUUGUCCUGCUUUUUACCUUCCAGCAGUCUGCACACAGGCAAGGUUGCCAUGGCAGCUCUAAGGAAAAGACCUCACUUUUGUGACAUACACCAAACCAGCAUGGUCCUUUAGGAGUACCUUUUACAAAGUGAGAAAACAAGAUUUUAUCUUUGCACAGAACCUGAAAUAGACACAUUAAAUGCUUGGGUGCUACUCCAAAAAAAAAAAAAAAAAAAAAGAUCUGGCACAAUUAAAUUUUUUACCCCCCCAAAAUGUGUAAAAAUCUUCAAAACUUUUCAGGUUCUACAAAGCCUCCAAACAAAGCUGCCUUGAAAAGAGAGUUGCCCUGGGGUGAGACUGGACGAUAAGGAAGGGUAAUCCUGUCGAGCUGGUGCUGGUUUUCAUUUAGAUGUGUUUCAGUGAAGAGAUCAUGGGCCAACAGAUCCCAAUAAUAACCAUAUACUACUGAGCACACAUAGCGCCCUCUACUGACCACAUAUAGAUAGUGCAGGAUGAUUUUCACAAUUAAUUCAUUGUUAAUUGAGACUGUUAAAAAAACACAAAAUGAUGACAAUUAACAGGCAGCAGUUCACGGCGAAAAGAGCUUGUUCAGGCGGGACUCAUAUGCGGUGAGGAGUGAUGUUUGUUUAGGGUAAAUCCAUUCUCAUUAACCUCAAUGCGGUCCAGUCAGAUUACCAGAAGAGGCGUAACCAGCGAACACAGCAAAACAAAGUAAAGCUUGGACAUAAAAAUCGUAACAUGGAAAUUAUUACAACAACGAUAAAUUUGUUCCAGCACAUAGACUACAAUACAAACAAAAAUACAAGUUGGCCUCCAACACCCAAAAAUGUCCACCAUAAGAGCCAUUAGCUACUUCAUUGUCUAAUGCAUCAAGAGCUCCCAGUGGAAAGAAAUUAUUGAUGUAGUGGUGUUUCAUGCCAGGAAAAACUAUUGACCAGGGGUAUUCUUGGAUGGAUGUAGCUAAUAAAUAUUGCAUUUUUAUGUUUUAACACUUCUAUUUAUUUUGUACAAUUUUGUUGUACUUACACAGCUUUGAGUCUGUUGAGGAUAUUUAAAACAAUCUUUUCAACUAUUUGCCUACUUUAGAUUGUACUGGUCAUAUAACAAAGUCCACUGUAAUAUGAGUUUAAA